AUUGAACGCUGGCGGCAUGCUUUACACAUGCAAGUCGAACGGUAACAGGCCUUCGGGUGCUGACGAGUGGCGAACGGGUGAGUAAUGCAUCGGAACGUGCCCAAUCGUGGGGGAUAACGUAGCGAAAGUUACGCUAAUACCGCAUAAGCCCUGAGGGGGAAAGUGGGGGACCGUAAGGCCUCGCGCUACCGGAGCGGCCGAUGUCAGAUUAGCUAGUUGGUGGGGUAAGAGCCUACCAAGGCGACGAUCUGUAGCUGGUCUGAGAGGACGACCAGCCACACUGGGACUGAGACACGGCCCAGACUCCUACGGGAGGCAGCAGUGGGGAAUUUUGGACAAUGGGCGCAAGCCUGAUCCAGCCAUGCCGCGUGCGGGAAGAAGGCCU
rnacentral:rRNA from 1 species